rnacentral:tRNA from 7 species
GCCGGCAUAGCUCAGUUGGUAGAGCAACUGAUUUGUAAUCAGUGGGUCGCGAGUUCGAUUCUUGCUGCCGGCACCA